rnacentral:rRNA from 1 species
GACGAACCGAGCGAACGUUGUUCGGAAUCACUGGGCUUAAAGGGCGCGUAGGCGGACUAUCAAGUCUGGGGUGAAAUCCCGCGGCUCAACCGUGGAACUGCCUCAGAUACUGACGGUCUCGAGGGAGGUAGGGGCAUGCGGAACUGUAGGUGGAGCGGUGAAAUGCGUUGAUAUCUACAGGAACGCCGGUGGCGAAAGCGGCGUGCUGGACCUCUUCUGACGCUGAGGCGCGAAAGCUAGGGGAGCAAACGGG